rnacentral:lncRNA from 1 species
GUAAGGUAGCAAAGUUCCUUCACGAAGGAGGAAGCUUAGUGAUGAUACCCCCGGCAACAAACUUGUCCGGUAGGAUACAAUUGAAGUGCUCAAGUUCUCUAGCAAAUGACUGUAUCUCAUGAGCCUGCUCAACCAUGGAGCGCUCUUCAGUCAUCCUGUAAUCAUAGAAUUGCUCCAUGAUGUACAGCUCAGUGCCGGCAUCCGAGACCCCAAACUUGGCCUCGAGUGCGUCUCACAUAUCUUUUCCAUUGUCAAUUGACGCAUAAGCAUCAACUAUGUUCUCACCAAGAACACUCAAGAGAGCAGCCUUAAACAAGGUAUCCAUUUUCUGAAAAGCUUGUGCCUGUUGGGCAUCUUGCUCUCCUUCAGGUUUGCCAAGAGUGGCGUCAUAGCAACUCAUAGUUUGAAACCAUAAGACUGCUCUCACGCGCUACCUCUUAUAAUGGAUACCCUCAAACAUAGGAGGUCUCAUGGAAGCAGCAAAACCAUUCGAGGUAAAUUGCCUAUAAUAAGGUUUUUGGAUGGGACUGACUAUUUAACAUCUGACUGAUUUCCAAUUGGGUUUCAGUCAAAUUUCCUGACAAAUAAACAUAUGACACCUGUAUGUCCAAACAAGGCCGACAAUCGUAUGUUUAUAUGUCCAACAAAACGGAUCGGGCUAAAUAUUCUGACCCGAUUCUCACUAAACCAAAAUAGAACCGAUUCCUGCUCAACUACGCAACUAACAAGGCCCUCCUGAACCACAAAACACCUGCGCCUAACAAAAAGAGAGAAAACAGGAAACAACUGCCCUUCAAUUUGCAUCCUACGCAAGGACCCAAACUCAACUACCCUAACCCCUCCACAGAUCUCCUGUAACACACCACAGCGCAGAACACAUCUGGGAGACGCGAUGGAAGAGGUGAGCAAGAAGAAAGAACAGAAACAAGUCAGAUAGAUAUGGGAGAGGGGAAAGUACCUGGAGAGAAUCAAAAGGGAAGAGCAGCUGCCAAUAUUUGGGGGAGGACAGAGGAAGAUCAUCCAAGAUAUGAUCCACAUGUCAGAAACUCUCCUACUCCUUUUGCUCACCCUUCUGAUGUACAGACACCUUUUACAUGAACUUGUCUGUAGAAAACAUCAAAGAAUCUAGUGAAAAAAUGGAAUCAUCAGCUUCUAACAGAUUGAAAAAGCAACACUGAAAUUUAUUUAGAUCAGGGUAAAAACAGCAAACCAACAGGAAACAUAGAGUUAAAAAGCAUUGUAAAUACACACGAAAAUAAGGGCAUAUGGUAAGUACACAUGAAAAUAUGUGCUCCAUUACGGUGUAAUGAAGCUGCAAUUUGCAUUGUCAGAAAACUAGGAAAUUAGAGAUAAAGCAUGGACUAUGAUAAAUGUGGGAUAUUACACUGUAAGGCAACUGAGGAUAUACAGUGAGAAAAUCAUAGGAAUUCCACUGUAAAUACCUACAGUAUAUAUAAUGUAAAAAAUGAGGUAUUUACAGAGCGUAACUCCCUAAAAAAAUCUUAGGUAUUCCACUGCAAUACCUACAAGUUUUACAAUGACUAUGUAGUAAAACUGGGGGAUAUUACAGUGAAAUCAAAUUGAAAAAGCACACUGUGGAAUGACAACAAUGAAGUAGGCACAAAGACAACAACUCAGAGACAUCAGAGAAAAUUCACUGAACAAAUCAGUGGAAAUUGCAGUGCAAACACCAAAGAAUGGCAGCGAUGAAUAACCACAGUAAAUUACAGUGCAAACACCAAUGAUUUACAGUGACUAAGGCCCUGUUCGGCAGCUCUCCAGCUCCGUAUAAUACGGGAGCGGACGGAGCGCCAGUUUUACAACUCCAGGAAAAUGCACUACGGGCCGCUCCGCUCCGGCCGCUCCAGGAGCAGAGCUGCGUAACGGAGGGCUGCCGAACACGGCCUAAAGCUCUAGAAUUACACUAUACAAUAUAAGGAAUUACUCUGAAAGUAAAUUACAGUGAAGGUACACAUGAAGUACGGUGCUUCACAAGGAAAAUUUACAGUCUAAAUACACUUGAAUUACUAUAAAUAAAUACAGCAAUAUACAAUCUAGGCACGCAGAAAUUAAACAGAAGCAAUUCAGGGCAUUCUGACAAAUUACGGUAAGCUCCUUGGAGGAACAUGUACGCACAAUGUCACACGAGUCUGCUGUUCAUAAGUUACUAUUAAUCAUAAAAGUGUUUGCUGUUCAUAUUUCUGCUAUUAUUGACAUAUAACAUUUCAAAAUUGCAGAUGGGAAGCAAGCAAAGAACAAUGACCAAAGGGGAUCUACUCACAAUGCCACAAGAAGAACUCAUUCUAAAUGUGAGAUAAGCAAAUAAUGAUAUCAGAAACUUGAAGAAAAAUUAUGUGUACAUAAUAACGAAAAGUUACAAUAUAUUGCAGGAAACAUUUUCAUUUACUGCCCUGCUACAACCUGACAUUAUAUACAAGGUAAAAGACCUAGUUAUCUACAUGAUGGACCUAGCAAAAGCAAAGCACGACGAAAAGAAUAGAUUUGUGCAAAAGAGGAGAACUAAAAAAUAUGUUGAAGCUUGCAGGUACAUUCAGGAGAUGGGCCUAGGAACACGUGUCAGCAAAGGAAGGAACACGUAUCAAGGAAUUUCAAGAAAGGUAAGUAAAAUAGUUUCUUAAUUGGUAUGCUUGAUUUCAAGAAAUGAAGAGAAUCGUUCAAUGACAGGUGGAGAUAAAAGAAGGCGGCAAGAAGAGGAACAGCGACAAGAAGCAGGAUGUAUCACCAACAACACAAGGCUAGAGCCGAAUUUUCAGGAGAGGGACAUGGAAGAAGAAGGAAAAGAAAGGAAAAUGGAAGGCAAGAAAAGACCAGAUGAGAUAGAGAAGAAAAUGGAAGAAGACAUGAAAAACACGAGAAUGAACUUUAGGAGACAAAAUCCAAAAAGGAAUACUUGAGUUGUACUUUGAGGGCAAACAUUCUUGCUACCUAAGAGAUAGAUUUCAGAAUGUUUUGCGAAAUUUAGAAUACAUUAUGCUUGUUUACAACAUGGAACUUGACUAUAUAUUACACAACAAAAGCUAAAAUUCUGUUGAGAUUUAAAUUACCUUUAGUAGACAGUAAAAAAUUGUAUUAUGUGUGAGAUUCUCUUAGUAGUUCAGAACUAUAAAACAAUACUGCAACAUUAAGGGAGAAAAUAAAAUAAAUUAGUAGAUUCGAAAUGAAAAAUGUAAUAAAACAGUAGCAGAAAGAAACUGAAGUAAACUGCAAGCAAAUAAAGAAAAGGACUAGUUACACUUACUAUAGGCUGCCAGAAUAGUUUAUGGUCUUAUAUAACAAGGAGCAACUGCAAAAAUCAGGGAGGAAAUACUAUAACAAUCACAACUAAAUUUCAGAGGAAAGCCACUGAAAUUUCAUGAGAUGUGCAAGCAAACAAUAAGAUACAGAAGGAAAAAAGAUUAUAUAUGACCUAAAUACAGAACUACAACACUGAAAAACUGUAGUGCAACAUUAAAGAGAAGAACAGACUAAAGCCAUGCAAGAGCUUAGUAUAACAAGGGGGACUAACCACAUUCCUUCUUCCAACACAUGAUAAUUUCCUAUUCAAUGAUUUCACCUUCUGAAAAAACAAAAAAAAAAUACAAGGGUCAAUAGAAACAAUCAUCAUCAAAAACAUAAUCAACUACUUCAAGAAAACAAAAAAAGCACACACAUGAUUCAAAUAGAACUUGAAUAGAGCUUUGACAAAGCCUCCAUCAUCACUAGAAAGUUCCAGAAAAAAACCAACAAACCCAAAUUAAAUAAACUGAAAGAGAGAAGAAAGAAGACAAUAAAAACUAGAGAAGAAGACAGAAAUGACUACCAAUGUCAUAGCAUUAGAACCAUCAUCCGUGAAGUCAUUAGGCACAAAUGGAUCAUUCAAAGAGUCUGCACUCUCAAUAGAUGAUACUAAUGGAACGUCCUGGUGAGUGACUUUCCGUAUCCUACCCAUUAGACUAAAAGGUAAAACAAAUCAUAAACCAAAUGAGAAACAUAUCCGGGAGCUAGCUCUAAACACAUGAAUAUUGCACAGGAAUGUAGCUCAAAAAUUGCAGAGGAUGAAAUAAAAUUACAGAGUAAUGCAGCUGAAAUUUACAGUCAAAUUACAUUGAAAAAACUGGGGAAUUAUAGUGUAAGUCUCUGUCAAAUUACAGAGUAAAUCUGAGGCAAAUUCCAGCGUAAAUCUCAGUCAAAUUACAGUGUAAUAUCUGGGACAUAUUACAGUGCAAACAUGGGGAAUUACAGUGUAAAACUCAGUCAAAUUACAUAGUAAAUCUGAGGCAAAUUCCAGUGUAAAGCUCGGUCAAAUUAUAGUGUAAUAUCUGGGAUUACAGUGCAAAUCUCGGGGAUUACAGUAUAAAUCUUGUUCAAAUUACAUAGUAAAUCUGAUGCAAAUUCUAGUGUAAAGCUCGGUCAAACUAUAGUGUAAUACGUAUCUGGGACAUAUUACAGUGCAAAUCUAGGGGAUUACAGUAUAAAUAUUGAUCAAAUUACAGAGUAAAAGUAGCUGAAAUAUACACAGAAAAUCUAGGGCAUAUUACAGUGUAAAAUCUUGGGAAUUACAGUGUAAAUCUCGGCUAAAUUACUGAGUAAAAGAAGCUAAAAUAUACAAAGUAAAUCUAGGGCAUAUUAGAGUGUAAAUCUCGGGCAAAUUACAGUGUAAAAGAAGCUCGAAUUUACGGAGAAACUCUGGGGCACAUUACAUGCAUAUCUGGGACAUUUUACAGUGCAUAUGACACCACCUACCUGAUAUUUGCAGACUAUAUAAGAAUGCUACACGGGAUACUACACUGCUAAAUCUAACACUAAAAAUUCAGAACAAAUUACAGUCCUACUACACAUGGAAUUAGAAAUUAAAUACCCAGGAAUUACAAUGACAGUGCACAGAGAAAAUACACGGGACUACCCCUGGGACUACAUGGCUCACUCUGCAAAAAUCUCAUACAUGAUUAAGCACUGAAAAAAGCCAAAGCCUAACACGGGGAAACAAUUAAUACUACCAAAAUACAAACAACUACAACAGAAAUCAGGGUUGGAGUAGAACUGCCAUGAACCAACCAGCUGAAGCAAACACAUAGCCUAUCUAUUUAGCAGAAAUCUCCGAACCCUAACCACAAAAGCAACCCUCUUAUGACACCUACCACUGCCUACAGCGAUGGGUUCAAAACAUGGGGACCUAAAACCUGACAACGACACCAUAACCCAGUACAACAGACCAGUUCAUACAUCUACAAAAAGAGUAGAGGGGGAACCAGCGGAAUCUACACAUACCCCGCAGCAGAACCAACAAUUGCAUCUACAAGAGCUAACAAAAUCCACAACAGCACCAGUAACCUACAGACACCGCAAAACCAAGCAAAAAAUAGAGUUAGAUCUGGAAGCUACAGGGACAGAAACAUGCGAAAUAUACAGGGGGAGGGGGCAGACGAGAACAACCAACCGGGCAACCGUGAAUCAAAAAGAAGUCAAGCUCCAGCAGAGGGGGGUCUCCGGAACGACAUGAACACGGCGGAACCGCCUCCUCUUCUCCGUCGCUCUCCCUCUCGCUCGCUCUCUGUCUCUCUACUGGUUAGAACAGUGCCGCCCAAAUGAAAUGGGGAAGGGAGAGGCGAAGAGAAAAUUCAAAGGAAAAAAUAAAGAAAAC